CGCAUGGGCGAAAGCCUGAUGGAGCGACGCCGCGUGACAGAUGAAGUCUUUCGGGAUGUAAAGGUCUUUUAUGAGGGAUGACAUAGCGACAGUACCUCAUGAAUAAGGGGCUGCUAAUCACGUGCCAGCAGCAGCGGUAAUACGUGAGCCCCAAGCGUUAUCCGGAAUUACUGGGCGUAAAGAGUGCGUAGGUGGUCGUAUUAGUCUUCUGUUUAAUCCCUCGGCUCAACCGAGGAACCGCAGAGGAAACGGUACGACUGGAGUGUGUAAGAGGUUUGCGGAACUCAUGGUGUAGGGGUGAAAUCCGUUGAUAUCAUGGGGAACACCAAAUGCGAAGGCAGCAAACUGGUACAUUACUGACACUGAGGCACGAAAGCGUAGGUAGCG
rnacentral:rRNA from 1 species